UGGGGAAUAUUGGACAAUGGGCGCAAGCCUGAUCCAGCCAUGCCGCGUGAGUGAUGAAGGCCUUAGGGUUGUAAAGCUCUUUCGCCGACGAAGAUAAUGACGGUAGUCGGAAGAAGAAGCCCCGGCUAACUUCGUGCCAGCAGCCGCGGUAAUACGAAGGGGGCUAGCGUUGUUCGGAAUCACUGGGCGUAAAGCGCACGUAGGCGGAUUGUUAAGUCAGGGGUGAAAGCCUGGAGCUCAACUCCAGAACUGCCCUUGAUACUGGCAAUCUCGAGUCCGGAAGAGGUAAGUGGAACUGCGAGUGUAGAGGUGAAAUUCGUAGAUAUUCGCAAGAACACCAGUGGCGAAGGCGGCUUACUGGUCCGGUACUGACGCUGAGGUGCGAAAGCGUGGGGAGCAAAACAGGAUUAGAUACCCUGGUAGUCCACGCCGUAAACGAUGGAGGCUAGCCGUUGGCGAGCAUGCUCGUCAGUGGCGCAGCUAACGCAUUAAGCCUCCCGCCUGGGGAGUACGGUCGCAAGAUUAAAACUUAAAUGAAUUGACGGGGUCAUAGCUGUUUCCU
rnacentral:rRNA from 1 species